CGACGUUCUCAGGGCAGGGUGUAAUUCCCUACCGGCGGUAAAGGAGGAGCCUGCUCCUCCAAGCCCGCGAGCGCCUGUUUCGGCAGGGUCAGCAGAUCCGGUGUAACUCCGGAGCCGACGGUCACAGUCCGGAUGAAAGAGAACAAAG
rnacentral:ncRNA from 2 species